rnacentral:rRNA from 1 species
GACGAAGGAUGCAAGCGUUAUCCGGAUUCAUUGGGUUUAAAGGGAGCGUAGGCGGCCUUAUAAGUCAGUGGUGAAAUCUCUCGGCUUAACUGAGAAAUUGCCAUUGAUACUGUAGGGCUUGAGUACAGAUGCCGUUGGCGGAAUAUGACAUGUAGUGGUGAAAUACAUAGAGAUGUCAUAGAACACCGAUUGCGAAGGCAGCUAACGAAACUAUAACUGACACUGAGGCUCGAAAGUGCGGGGAUCAAACAGG